GAUAAACGCUAGCGGCAGGCUUAACACAUGCAAGUCGAGGGGCAGCAUAGAUUGUAGCAAUACAAUUGGUGGCGACCGGCGCACGGGUGCGUAACGCGUAUGCAACCUACCCGUCACAGGGGGAUAAUCCGGAGAAAUCUGGUCUAAUACCCCAUAACAUAUGGAUCGGCAUCGGUUCAUGUUGAAAUUUUCGGAGGUGACGGAUGGGCAUGCGUAGCACUAGCUUGUUGGUGAGGUAACGGCUCACCAAGGCGACGAUGCUUAGGGGGACUGAGAGGUUUUCCCCCCACACUGGUACUGAGACACGGACCAGACUCCUACGGGAGGCAGCAGUGAGGAAUAUUGGUCAAUGGGCGCAAGCCUGAACCAGCCAUGCCGCGUGCAGGAUGACGGCUCUAUGAGUUGUAAACUGCUUUUGUACGAGGGUAAAGUGGGUUACGUGUAACCUUUUGGAAGUAUCGUACGAAUAAGGAUCGGCUAACUCCGUGCCAGCCGCCGCAGUAA
rnacentral:rRNA from 1 species